rnacentral:lncRNA from 1 species
CCUCUAAAUAUAUCCCAUAUACAUAAUACCAUCACAUAAUACUUAUUUUUAUUGACAAAUAGUAUAUUUGUUUUCUAAAUAUAAAUAAAUAUAAUUUCAUACAAUAUUAAAAUUACAUCAUUUAAGUUGAAUUACCUAAUGAAAUUCUCUCUUGAUAGAAGACUUUGAUAGAUAAAAGUAAUGUGGUGGGAAUCGAUUCCUCCGUUUUUAAUUAUUGGUGGCUCUUUAUGGCUAGGUGGAACUAUUGUUGGAGCAAUAAAUAAAUUCCAGAAUGGUGGAAGGCCACUUCGGGUAAGACAAGAUGAUUUUGCAAAAAUAUUGACUGUUCGAGAUAUUGAGUUAACUGGCAACCAUUUCAAGCAACAGGCACCUUGAUUGGUAUUAUGAGACUUGGAUUUCUUUGUAAAUUAUCAAAUAACAAUAUAGUAAAUUCUGAAA